AUUGAACGCUGGCGGCAGGCCUAACACAUGCAAGUCGAACGAGUGGCGGACGGGUGAGUAAUGUCUGGGAACCUGCCGGAUGGAGGGGGAUAACUACUGGAAACGGUAGCUAAUACCGCAUACCAUCAGAUGUACCCAGAUGGGAUUAGCUAGUAGGUGGGGUAACGGCUCACCUAGGCGACGAUCCCUAGCUGGUCUGAGAGGAUGACCAGCCACACUGUGACUGAGACACGGUCCAGACGCCUACGGGAGGCAGCAGUGGGGAAUAUUGCACAAGGGGCGCAAGCCUGAUGCAGCCAUGCGGCGUGUAUGAAGAAGGCCUUCGGGUUGUAAAGUACUUUCAGCGGGGAGGCGUUACCCGCAGAAGAAGCACCGGCUAACUCCGUGCCAGCAGCCGCGGUAAUAC
rnacentral:rRNA from 1 species